AGUCGACGGAGUUGUGCAUCGGAAGUUUUCGGAUGGAAGAAGCAGAACUUAGUGGCGGACGGGUGAGUAACGCGUGGGUAACCUGCCGUAUACAGGGGGAUAACAGUUGGAAACAACUGCUAAUACCGCAUAAGCGCACACUGUCGCAUGACAGAGUGUGAAAAUUUCCGGAGGUAUACGAUGGACCCGCGUCUGAUUAGCCAGUUGGCAGGGUAACGGCCUACCAAAGCAACGAUCAGUAGCCGGCCUGAGAGGGUGGACGGCCACAUUGGGACUGAGACACGGCCCAAACUCCUGCGGGAGGCAGCAGUGGGGGAUAUUGCACAAUGGGGGAAACCCUGAUGCAGCGACGCCGCGUGAGUGAAGAAGCAUUUCGGUGUGUAAGGCUCUAUCAGCAGGGAAGAAGAAUGACGGUACCUGACUAAGAAGCCCCGGCUAACUACGUGCCAGCAGCCGCGGUAAUACGUAGGGGGCAAGCGUUAUCCGGAUUUACUGGGUGUAAAGGGAGCGUAGACGGCAACGCAAGCCAGAUGUGAAAACCCGCAGCUCAACUGGGGGAGUGCAUUUGGAACUGUGUAGCUAGAGUGCAGGAGAGGUAAGCGGAAUUCCUGGUGUAGCGGUGAAAUGCGUAGAUAUCAGGAGGAACACCAGUGGCGAAGGCGGCUUACUGGACUGUAACUGACGUUGAGGCUCGAAAGCGUGGGGAGCAAACAGGAUUAGAUACCCUGGUAGUCCACGCUGUAAACGAUGAAUACUAGGUGUCGGGGGUUUACGGACGCCCGGUGCCGCAGCAAACGCAGUAAGUAUUCCACCUGGGGAGUACGUUCGCAAGAAUGAAACUCAAAGG
rnacentral:rRNA from 1 species